GCUCUGGUAGUGCAGCGGUUAACAUACAAGCCUGUCGAGCUUGUGUCUCGGGUCCGAAUCCCGACCAGAGCG
rfam:Candidatus Altiarchaeum sp. CG2_30_32_3053 cg_3.0_sub100_scaffold_45_c, whole genome shotgun sequence.